UCCAGGGUAGCCUAGUGGACAUGGCAUCUGCCCGGUAAGCGGAACACAGUGGGUUCGAUUCCCAUCCCUGGAU
rnacentral:tRNA from 1 species